CAGCUGAGGACAGCCGCCAGCGGUUUCGGGGCAACCGCGCGACCUCGCCGGCGCGCGUCCCGGCGGUAGGCUAUUUGUGCGGGCGGCCUUGUACCCGGCGGCAACGGGUGGCUCCGUGGUCUCGGCAUUUUCAUGGGCGAGUGGCGUGGUUUGGUGAGCUCGGUACCCACUAUUUUGGCCACCACGGCUGGUUGGAUCGGUAUUCUUCUCUGCAUGCGUUCUUCUACUGCUAUCACGGAUUUCAGCGGCAGGGGCAUGCCAUGGAGCUAGGGAAGAUCCUUGACUCCUCGUUGUUAGUGUUCCUUACCAUGGCUGAGAUGGAGUCCGCAACACGCUUGGAGCCAGCGCCGCCGGCUGGAAAAGCAGCGGUUCGUAUGCCUUUGGGGUCUCAUCGCCGGCUGAAAUCGAAUAUGGCCAUCUCACCUCGACACCCCUCUCCAUGAGCACCCACCGUCCCCUACCUCCAUUAGCCGCUGAAAUCAACCACCAGCCUCUGUACCUGAGUUCCCCAACCUGCAGUUCACGUCCAAGAUCCAGGACAUCCAGAUGUCCCCCCCCAGGUUUGGUAUGAAUGAUUGUUUUGUCUGUAGCAGCAUUCUGGAUUGUGAAUGACCAUGACAUAAAAUUCUUGUUUUUUCAUCUAGUUCUUUAUCGAUUCUUUGAUAUGGUGAAUUAGUACUAUAUAUGCAAGUUACCACAAUUGCGCGAUUGACAUAGAUGAAAUAGUGGGUGAUCCAGUUUCGGUAGAUCCAAUUGCAUGUACUCUUGUUUAUGUUCUUGAUUAGAUCAAUUGGUCAACAUAAGCGAAAGAGAUUUUAAUUCAUGUGUAUUUUCAUGUACGGCAACCAAAUUCCUGCUUGGUCCAGAGCGAUGCAUCACAUAAUUUGCUUGUUUUAGUUAUCACACAUGACCUGUUGUUCAUGUAACUGCAAAUUCGAGUUAUAUUUAUUCCAAUUAAAGCUGGUGAUUGCUUCUUAAUACAUGUUAAAGGCAUCUCGGCAUAUUUUUUGUACACAAGUUAAACUAAUCGCAGAAAAUAAAUGCUUCUUUGCCGUUAAGUAUGUGAGUGUUCCUAAUUGGAUAGUUUUCUGUAUCAAGAAAAUUUUGUUGGCUUGCCUUUUACUGGCCGUUGACAAUGAUUUAUGUGGUUAGCUGUUACUUAUAAAUAAAGUCACAUGAGACAAUCUUCCCGUUAUGUAUAGUCUGAAGAUUGAUGUCGCAUACUCUGUCCUGCCUCUCAGUUAUAAUCUGAAGAGCUGAAUGAUCUUCUGCCUUUGUACUAGCCAUUUUGAAUUGUUUAAAAGUUGCAUGGCAUCCUAGGUAAUCAUAUUUUCAAUUAAGGUAUGCUUGGCAGAUAGAUUAAUUAAUCUCCAAUUCGGAUAUGAAAUUACUUUAGUUUUUUAUGGAAUUAAAAGAUACUAUUUGUAGUGAUGAUUUUGAAUCAAUCUCGUAGUUUCUUAUACCCGUUGGAAGCAUGAAGUCCUAUUUAUUUUACAUCCUUUUGUAGUUCAUAUACCUCUUUGAGUCUCCGUAGACCAACUGUAGCAAGUUUUUAGAAUAGUUCAACUGCAGUUUGUCAGUAUCUAGUUUCAAAAGGUAUAAAAAAUGCUACUAGCCGGUGGAGUUAUAUGGUCCUUGCGCCUGUGGUUUGCUAGCCAGUAAUACUUCUUAUCAUUUGAUACAUUAGUGGCUCUAAAGAUAAUACAUGCAUCGACAAUUUAUCACUGAAAGGAAAUCUUAUUUAUCAAGUUCCCAGUUCUGCUGGGUAUGCAGAUUUGACAUCUGUUUUGGUACAUUCUUACAACAAACCUAUGUUGUUAAUUGGUCUUUGAUUGUUCAAACAUAUAUAUGGAUAGAUAACUAGCCUCAUGCUUUCCAGACUGAUUGUUCAAUAAUAUGGACAUGUGACCUGAAUUAUGGACUAGAUAUGUCCAGCUAACGAUAUUAUGCAGUCCUCCUGUACUUAAGUUAAUCUAUUUUAUCUGUUAUCGCAUCUAUAUCUUUUUUACAAGGCUUGGUAUGCUGAUUUACUUCUUUCUCGGAGCUUGUUCGCACUGCUAGAAGUUCCAUGGUACUUUGAAUCUUGCAACGUUGAUUUUGGUCAUUACUCCAAUGAUAAAAAACAAUUGUUUCCUAGUGUCGGUUCACGUUGCUACAAACCUAGCAUUUGCACGUGUUUGCUACGGAAAUCCAAGUUCUGCCAUCAGUUUUCAGCCUUUGGCAAAUCCUAACAGCCGGCUAUCCGUACCACUUUUCAGAAUAACUUUAAAUCCUAAUCUGAAUAUCUUUUUACUUUGAUGACUCUCAGGGUUUGCCAAAGGCUGGUAUUUGGUUGCAUUUUCAGGUCUUUCUGCUGCUGGUGACGCUGCAGCUCCGUCUGAUGGAGGAAAAUAACACGAAUGAAAAGAUUUAUUAAAGAGAUCAGCUAGGAUCGGUGGCAAUGAUGAAAGGCUUUCUAAUCAAUAGGUUCAGUGUGGGGAGAUUCCUCGGUGGAUAUGUAUUACCAUUGUCAUGGAGUGUUAGGCUGCCCUAUGCCCACAUAUUCAGCUUGCAGAUUUAACUCCAUUUGGCGUAUUUUGUAACAAACCUGCAAGAAGAAAUGUCAUGAUUGUGAUGAGGCAUUCGAGUUCAAGACCGAUGAUUAGCAAGUGCUUUGAAGGCUUGACAUUAUAGUGCGGGAAGUCACUGACAAGGUGUUGCUAACUCAUGAGGUGUCCUCCAAAAUGCCAUGCAGCAGAAUGAAAACUGCAAAAAAUAAUUAUACCGAGUCAUGUAAUUCACUAUAAGUUUGAAGAUUAAUUCUUUUAUUUUUAUUAGCCACGCUGGUUUGUAUUUUAUGAGCACCUGAGACUAUGUGGUAAUUCUUUCUGACACAUGCAUCUACUUUACAUUCCUUGAA